AAAACCGAAAGGUGAGGUAUAUGGGCUGACGCCUGCCCGGUGCUGGAAGGUUAAGGGGAGAGGUUAGCCGUAAGGCGAAGCUUUGAACUUAAGCCCCAGUAAACGGCGGCCGUAACUAUAACGGUCCUAAGGUAGCGAAAUUCCUUGUCGGGUAAGUUCCGACCCGCACGAAAGGCGUAAUGAUUUGAGCGCUGUCUCGACAAUGCAUCCGGUGAAAUUGAAGUACCAGUGAAGAUGCUGGUUACCCGCGCCAGGACGGAAAGACCCCAUGGAGCUUUACUCCAGUUUGGUACUGGGAUUCGGUACUGCAUGUACAGGAUAGGUGGGAGACUGAGAAAUUGGAACGCCAGUUUCAAUGGAGUCACUGUUGGGAUACCACCCCUGCAGUAUUGGGUUUCUAACCAGCCGCUGUGAUCCAGCGGUGGGACAAUGCCAGGCGGGGAGUUUGACUGGGGCGGUCGCCUCCGAAAGGGUAUCGGAGGCGCUCAAAGGUUCCCUCAGAAUGGUCGGAAACCAUUCGAAGAGUGCAAAGGCAGAAGGGAGCUUGACUGCGACACCGACGGGUGGAGCAGGUACGAAAGUAGGACUUAGUGAUCCGGUGGUAUAAAGUGGGAUUGCCAUCGCUCAACGGAUAAAAGCUACCCUGGGGAUAACAGGCUUAUCACUCCCAAGAGUUCACAUCGACGGAGUGGUUUGGCACCUCGAUGUCGGCUCAUCGCAUCCUGGAGCUGUAGCAGGUUCCAAGGGUUGGGCUGUUCGCCCAUUAAAGCGGUACGCGAGCUGGGUUCAGAACGUCGUGAGACAGUUCGGUCCCUAUCCGGCGCGGGCGGAGGAUAUUUGAGAGGAGCUGUCCUUAGUACGAGAGGACCGGGAUGGACGGACCACUGGUGUAUCUGCUGUCGACCAACGGCAUGGCAGAGUAGCCAAGUCUGGAAGGGAUAAACGCUGAAGGCAUCUAAGCGUGAAGCCCCCCUAAAGAUAAGAUUUCCCAUACCAUAAGGUAGUAAGACCCCUUGAAGACGACGAGGUAGAUAGGGCAGAGGUGGAAGUACGGUAACGUAUGGAGCUGACUGUUACUAAUCGGUCGAGGCUUUAACCAA
rnacentral:rRNA from 1 species